rnacentral:rRNA from 1 species
AUGGCCGCCACCAAACAGCAGCCGCCCCUAUACAUUGUCGUCGCCGACGACCGCCAGAGGAGCAGCUUCCCCUGCACGCGCCCCAUCCUGCAGAGCGCGCUCCAGCUCAUGGGCUGCAAGCCACACCACACCUUCAAGGGCCAGAACAGAGAAGAAGCAGAGCAGCUAGACUCGGAACACAGCCAAAAGAACGCCGAUAACCGUAAGAAACAGAAGACAAAACACAAAAUUGGAUCAAAAUCUUACUCACAAGUAAGCUUUGAGAAGAGAAACUUGGAGCUCACCCACACGAACGACGGAACAUGGUCUAACACAGAGUCCUAG